ensembl:lincRNA
GUGUUUUGGAGUGAUUUUUAUUGCUUAAACGUAUGUGUGAGGAAUUAUAUCGAAUGUCACUGACCAAAGCAUUGUGCAAUUAUGUCUUGACCCAGUGCCUUCCACAAUCAUAUUAAUCCCAAAUCCCAUGAUUUAGCACAGAGCCAAACACAUGCCACAUCUACAUGACAUCGAAGAGUCUAACCUUGAGAGGCAGCAAACCAAAUGGAACUCCAUUCCUUGCCAAAAACUUUUCAGGCAUCUGUCACAACAUUUAUCUCCCUUCAAGCAACAGCAUCCGUGAUUCUCAAUAGUUUAUUACAUUCUAGCUGCGGCUCAAGGCUCUCCCACUCUAUCUUCUACUGGUCUUCCUCUGAAUUUAUGGAACACAUCUCUACCUCAAGCCCAGGAGGUCCCAUCUUCUUUCCUCUGCAGACUCACCUGACUCACCCUCCAAUUACUUUUACCACUGGGAAGGGUUGUGCCUGCCUCCUGGCACUUGGAGUUAGGAAGCCCUUGUCUCCUGUAUCAGAUGGAGGAAGGAUAUUGCCCUGUGCCUUUUCCUGAGCCUUUCAGAUUGUGAGUUUGUAGGAGAAGGCCUAGGACAGGCAGAGUUGCUGGGACUUUAUUGUUGACUCGAGAGUGUUUGAGAUGCUUACCUUUAUUGAUAUGUCUCAACCUAGCUCCACCUGCUCUUGGUAGGUGGAAUAUAACCAAUGUGCUCUUCACCGACAGCCCUUAUUUCUAGGUAGUGGAACGCAAAUCACGUUUUAGUUCCAUAUGAUUGGAGACUUUGACCAAUAAUUGUUUUUAAGAGCUGGGGAGAUAGCUUGGUAGUAGAGCACUGGGCUAGAAUGUUUGAGGCCUUCGAUUCAAUCCCCAGCACAACAACAACAACAAUAAAAAUUAAAAGUGCCUUCAAGUGAUAAUCUCUGCUGAGAGGGAGGUUUCUCCACGAAUGGGAUGAUUUUCUUGGAAUGUUGUUCAGCUUCUUCACAACUUCCUGUACGACGAGAAGCACUCAGAAAGUAGAAGCGUAGCUGCCUGACAUCUCACAAAAAUACCUAUUAGGACCUGAGUUGUGUCCUCCUAAAAUUCAUGGGUUGAAGCCAUGAGCCCCAGUACCUCAGCAUGUGACUUAUUUGGAGACAGGAAUUUAAGAAGGUGAAUAAGUUGAAAUGAAACUGUUGCCUUGAAACCUAACGAGGUCUUGCUGGUGCCCUUUGAAAGGAGGGAAUUAGGCCGUACAAGGAGGCAUGGGGCCUAUGUGCACAUAGACAAGCCCUCGAGAAGUCAGGCAAGGAGGCAGCAGGCGGCAAACCCACGAGAAAGGCCUCAGAGGAAAUGAAACUUGCUGAAACCUUGAUCCUGGCCUUCUACCCUGCAGAACUGUGAAGAAAUGAAUCUUUGUUGUUUAAAGCAUCUGUCUUUGGUGAUUUGUUAUGGCAGCCCUAGCAAAACUGUGCAGUCCUCGAUCCCUACACACUCAACAGAUCUAGAAGCUGCCUGGACAACUUCAAGGAAGGCCUGCACUCCAGCACUCUGUCUUGUGUGCCUUUCACAUGAAGACUCAAAGCUAGCUAUGGAGGUGCCUGCCUGUAAUCCCAGCACUUGGAAGCUGAGGCAGGAGAAUCACCACAAGUUUGCGGCCAGCAUGGACUACAUAGCAAGGCCCUGUUUCAAGUUUUUUUUAAAAAAAGGAAAAGAAAGAAUGACUAGUAUCCUGUAACUAAUCCUCCAUCUCCCCAAAGAACUUGGGGCUCCCCUUCUUCCCAUCUACACCCCAUCAGGCCCUUCCUCCCUCUCUGCAGCACAUGAUCUCUGCGGGCCUCCCACUUGCAGAAAUCUGCACGGUGGGAGGAACCCUUGUGUUCAGACUCCCUCCUCUCCCGGGAGCACCUUUCCAGCUCUCCUACACUGUAGUCUCCACUCAAGGUCGAGGUCACCGCACACCUCCAGGUGGAGGGACAUGGACCAGGCCCCACCCCUCCCUCUAUCUAGGCUGACGGAACCUUCGUCCCAAGGUUUACUCCCUAAUCCUUUUUUUUGCUCAUUGAGCUUAUUGGUACAUUUUAGGGAUACAGUACAGUUACAUUUAUCAUUGGGAUCUUGUGCCUUUACAUGACAGGUCUUGGUUCUCAUUGUUUCCCCUUGUCCCUGCCCUUCCUUGGCCCCCUCCUCCCUUCCCUAUUUACAAGUAUUUCUAAUCUUUUUAGUAAGCAGACCAGGGCAGCAGUGAUGACACUUACUCAGUGCUUUGUGGUGAAC